rnacentral:tRNA from 2 species
GUUUUUAUAGUUGAAUAACAGCGGUGGUUUUUCAGAUCACAGGUCUUGGUGAAAGUCCGAGUAAGAAUA